AAAAUCUCGAUGCCUAUCGAUGUCUUCGGCAUUUUCCAUUUUUAAAUCAUUCGCAGAUCUUAUGUGAAGGUGGUUUAAAGGAUAUCCUGUUUUAGCAAAAGAAGUCCAUAUGUUUAAGAGAAGAUCUUUCAUUGAUUCGUCUAAUUCGCUCAGUUCUUCAUAUAAAUUUUUAUUGUUUGGAAAUAUAUAGCUUAAAUCAUCUCCAUGACCUACUCCUAUAAGAAGACAUUGAAAAUUAAUUUAGCAGAAGUUGUAAUAAUGUUGAUAUUGAUAAAGAAAAAUCAGACAGUUCCAAAUUCAUCAAAUCAUAAGGAAAUAUCAGAUUAACCCCUCAGCCCAGAAAAAGCCCAUAUCAGCAGUUAUUUGAUGGCACCAAUAGAAUCCAAAAUGAUCAUAAAUGUUAGUGUACAAAUGAAUUGCUACUCCAAACUACAAAUUAAAGUUCUUUGGGUGAGUAGUUUUUAUAAGUAGUUCUUUUUAGGAGUCUUAGUAGUACUUUUAAUCACACACCUGUUGGGUUUGUGGCCACAACUGCUUAAACAACAUUACUUGAACUAAGUGAUUUGGCUGUGUACACAUUUUAAUAAAAUAAUUUAACAGGACUUGUUCAUAAUACUACAAGAAUGUAUGUUACCCUCAAAUUAUGUAUCACAUCUAGCGUUUUCAGCCCAGAAUACACUUCAAAUCUAGCUCCAAUUUGCUUGUUUCUAGUUAUAUAUUUGUAUUGUAACUUUAUAAGUAUCACAAUGAUUUUUCAUGCAAUGAAAUAGUCGUCAUUAAGCAAAAUAUGAUUGUAAAUAUUCAGUGGGUAUAUCUUUGCACUUGUUGUGGGGACAUAUACAGAGAAUGGCAGAUACAAGACAAACUAGACGAAUAUGGGAGGCAAGAGGUGGAAAGAAUAAUAUGAGAGGGAGGCCUAAAUAAAAAAAAUGAGAUGAAGUAACUAAUGAAAUACCACAAAAGUAGUUUUAACUAGUUUAAAACUAGUUUUGACUAUGAAAGUAAUUAAUUAGAGUAUUAGCAGUUUUAUUCAAUUUACUGUUCUACAACUACACCUCAAUGACUACACCAGAUGAAGAUGCGUGGGAUUCAGAACAGUUCAGGGUACACACUAAGACACAGAAAAAGAAACAUAGUUAAAUGAUAUUAAUGUGAGAUAGAAAACAUAAUCAGAUAGGGACAUAAGUGUAGAAGAGUUUGGAAUUUGGCGAUUUUGAGGUUCUAGGAGCCUCAUCUAAUACAUUCAAUUAAAUCUA